CUUCCCUGUAUUUGUUCUCAUGUGUCUCAGUAAAUAGCGACGGCAAAUAAACCCUUUACCACAUACAUCACAGUCAUGAAGUGUUUCAUCUGUAUGUGUUCUCUUAUGAACCUGUAAAUUACUACGCUGACUAAACCCUUUACCACAUACUUCACAGUUAUGAGGUUUAUCACCUGUAUGUAUUCUCGUGUGUAUUUGUAAACCACCAUGUUGACUAAACCGUUU
rnacentral:lncRNA from 1 species